rnacentral:tRNA from 1 species
GCGCCCGUAGCUCAGUUGGAUAGAGCAACGGAUUUCUAAUCCGUAGGUCGGGGGUUCGAAUCCCUCCGGGCGUG